rnacentral:tRNA from 2 species
GGCCCCUUAGCUCAGCUGGAUAGAGCAGGUGACUUCUAAUCAUCAGGUCGGGGGUUCGAAUCCUCCAGGGGUCG